UACGUAGGGUGCGAGCGUUGUCCGGAAUUAUUGGGCGUAAAGGGCUCGUAGGCGGUUUGUCGCGUCGGGAGUGAAAACUCAGGGCUUAACCCUGAGCCUGCUCCCGAUAUGGGCAGACUAGAGGUAUGCAGGGGAGAACGGAAUUCCUGGUGUAGCGGUGAAAUGCGCAGAUAUCAGGAGGAACACCGGUGGCGAAGGCGGUUCUCUGGGCAUUACCUGACGCUGAGGAGCGAAAGUGUGGGGAGCGAACAGG
rnacentral:rRNA from 1 species